rnacentral:lncRNA from 1 species
GGAGGAUUAUUUGUUUCAGUAAAAUACCUUAGUUCAUACUCUUAGGUAUUGUUUGGUUCGGGGAUAAGAAAAAAAUGACUAUUCCAGAAAUAGGUAUAAAUUGAGGUAUAAGCGGGAAUUAGAUCAAUUUUGCGUUUGGAUGAAAAUUGGGUUAUUCCCGCGAACAAAAAAAAUGUUUAGGGUUAAAUAAAAACUAGUUAUUUCAAGGAUAGUGUUAAGUUCAGAAUUAAGGUAGGGUUAGAGUGAUUUUUUGUUUGGUUGAAAAUUGGGUUCUAAAGAUAGGGUUAAGUUCAGGAUUAAGAUGGGGUUAGAGUAAUUUUUUGUUUGGUUGAGAAUUGGGUUUAGUCCAGAUAUAAGUAAAAUAGUGUUUGGUUGAAGUAGGUGGGAUAAGAAGAAUAGUGGGUUAUUAUAAAUAAAAAAUAAUGAUUUUUCCAUAAUUUUUAUAUUUGAAUUUAAAUGUAAAAUUUAAAUAAUUAAAAAUAAUAAUUUUAAAUUUAAAAUUAAAAUCUAUAUUUUUAAAUCUCAAAUUAAAAAAUUUAAGUUACAAAUAUAAAAUAUCAAAUUUAAAAUUUAAAUAAUUAAAAAUAAUAAUUUUAAAUUUUAAAAUUUAAAAAAUAAAUAUUAAUUUUAAAAUUUAAAUAUAUAAUUUUUCUAAAUUUUAAAUUUUAAAAUUUAAUUUUAAAUUUAUAUUAAAAAAUUAAAU